UACGUAGGGUGCGAGCGUUUGUCCGGAAUUAUUGGGCGUAAAGAGCUCGUAGGCGGUGUGUCGCGUUCGGCCGUGAAAACCUGCAGCUCAACUGCAGGCUUGCGGUCGAUACGGGCAGGCUAGAGUUCGGUAGGGGAGACUGGAAUUCCUGGUGUAGCGGUGAAAUGCGUAGAUAUCAGGAGGAACACCGGUGGUGUAAACGGCUCUCUGGACCAUAACUGACACUGAGGCACGAAAGCGUGGGUAGCAAACAGG
rnacentral:rRNA from 1 species